rnacentral:rRNA from 1 species
AUUGAACGCUGGCGGCAUGCCUUACACAUGCAAGUCGAACGGUAACGGGUCCUUCGGGAUGCCGACGAGUGGCGAACGGGUGAGUAAUAUAUCGGAACGUGCCCAGUAGUGGGGGAUAACUGCUCGAAAGAGCAGCUAAUACCGCAUACGACCUGAGGGUGAAAGGGGGGGAUCGCAAGACCUCUCGCUAUUGGAGCGGCCGAUAUCAGAUUAGCUAGUUGGUGGGGUAAAGGCCUACCAAGGCAACGAUCUGUAGUUGGUCUGAGAGGACGACCAGCCACACUGGGACUGAGACACGGCCCAGACUCCUACGGGAGGCAGCAGUGGGGAAUUUUGGACAAUGGGCGCAAGCCUGAUCCAGCAAUGCCGCGUGCAGGAAGAAGGCCUUCGGGUUGUAAACUGCUUUUGUCAGGGAAGAAAUCUUCUGGGCUAAUACCCCGGGAGGAUGACGGUACCUGAAGAAUAAGCACCGGCUAACUACGUGCCAGCAGCCGCGGUAAUACGUAGGGUGCGAGCGUUAAUCGGAAUUACUGGGCGUAAAGCGUGCGCAGGCGGCUUUGCAAGACAGAUGUGAAAUCCCCGGGCUCAACCUGGGAACUGCAUUUGUGACUGCAAGGCUAGAGUACGGCAGAGGGGGAUGGAAUUCCGCGUGUAGCAGUGAAAUGCGUUGAUAUGCGGAGGAACACCAAUGGCGAAGGCAAUCCCCUGGGCCUGUACUGACGCUCAUGCACGAAAGCGUGGGGAGCAAACAGGAUUAGAUACCCUGGUAGUCCACGCCCUAAACGAUGUCAACUGGUUGUUGGACGGCUUGCUGUUCAGUAACGAAGCUAACGCGUGAAGUUGACCGCCUGGGGAGUACGGCCGCAAGGUUGAAGCUCAAAGGAAUUGACGGGGACCCGCACAAGCGGUGGAUGAUGUGGUUUAAUUCGAUGCAACGCGAAAAACCUUACCUACCCUUGACAUGUCAAGAAUUCUGCAGAGAUGUGGAAGUGCUCGAAAGAGAACUUGAACACAGGUGCUGCAUGGCCGUCGUCAGCUCGUGUCGUGAGAUGUUGGGUUAAGUCCCGCAACGAGCGCAACCCUUGUCAUUAGUUGCUACGCAAGAGCACUCUAAUGAGACUGCCGGUGACAAACCGGAGGAAGGUGGGGAUGACGUCAGGUCCUCAUGGCCCUUAUGGGUAGGGCUACACACGUCAUACAAUGGCCGGUACAGAGGGCUGCCAACCCGCGAGGGGGAGCCAAUCCCAGAAAACCGGUCGUAGUCCGGAUCGUAGUCUGCAACUCGACUGCGUGAAGUCGGAAUCGCUAGUAAUCGCGGAUCAGCUUGCCGCGGUGAAUACGUUCCCGGGUCU